GAUCUUAAUGUUUAAAAGAGCCAGGCAAAGUUGUGUGGUGGGUGUCAUAGGUGCAGUGAAAAUGGCAAGACUGUUUUAUUCAUUCCUGGCAUCUCGCUGAGGAAACCUCACUUGUUUCAUCCAGCAUUGUUUCACUGGUCCUGCUAUGAGUGAAAGGAAAUAUAAUGUGUGCAUUGCACUAGAGGGGGAGCUGAAGGUCAGGAGUGAAAUAUGGCUUUCUGCUGCACUUGGUCUCAGUCUGAAUGUUACCUACAUUAUCAUCAGAGCUCACUGUCAUAAUGGGGAGACCUUGUCACAGGAGGGAGGUCACCUAGAAACGGGAAGAAAAAUUGGGGGGGAAAUACUAAAUAAUAUGAACUAAAAAGAAGACCAGUAGGGUACCCAAACUUCCUUUGUGUAUUUUUGAGAACACUAAAUUAUCUGCAAAAGACAUGCUUGUCCUCCAGUACCUGAAAUACCACUGUUGUCCUGGGCUUGAAGUGCCAUUCUACGAACUUCCUGGAGUUUUGUUGUCAGCAUCUUUCCACCGGGGAGUCCAGCUUUGGCCUCUGUGCUUUUGUGAUGGGUUGGAUUUAAAAACUCCAGCUACAUUUCAAGGCAGUCAGCUUUAAAAUACUUAUCCAAGAGGGGCAUAAAUCAAGUUAUUUUCAUUAGAAAAUAGAUCAUGGUAAAGAAACUUCUCUAUUCUCUGUGCCCUGAGACUGCAGUCAGACCCUGGCAUGGCACUGUGCUGCAGGAUGGCUGGGAGAGAGCUCUUCUUCAGCACUACGGGGGAAUUUUGCUGAAAAGUUUUUGGAGGUAUUUGGAGAUGGGAGUGCAGCUGUGUUAGCGCAGUCACCAGGAGCUGGCUGAAGGGGAUCUUUGUGGAUAUUUCCUUUGGAAUGUAUUCAGCCACUGAAAUCCAAAACCAGGUUUGCAGAAGUCAGUGAAUAAAGGAAGACAAAAAAACAAACAAAAAAAUGUGGUGGUGAUUGCAAAUUGGGUGCCCACAGUGACAGGAACCAAGGCUGAAGGUGU